ACUCAAAGGAAUUGACGGGAGCCCGCACAAGCGGUGGAUUAUGUGGUUUAAUUCGAAGCAACGCGCAGAACCUUACCUAGGUUUGACAUCCUUUGACAAUACUAGAGAUAGUACUUUCGUAGCAAUACGACAAAGAGACAGGUGCUGCAUGGCUGUCGUCAGCUCGUGUGGUGGCAUGUCGGGUUAAGUCCCUCAACGAGCGCAACCCCUGUGUUUAGUUGCCAGCAUUAAGUUGGGCACUCUAGACAGACUGCCGUGGUUAACACGGAGGAAGGCGGGGAUGACGUCAAGUCCUCAUGGCCCUUACACCUAGGGCGACACACGUAAUACAAUGGUUGAUACAGAGGGAAGCGAAACCGCGAGGUGGAGCAAAUCCCAAAAAGUCAAUCUCAGUUCGGAUUGGAGUCUGCAACUCGACUCCAUGAAGGCGGAAUCGCUAGUAAUCGCGGAUCAGCACGCCGCGGUGAAUACGUUCCCGGGCUUUGUACACACCGCCCGU
rnacentral:rRNA from 1 species